rnacentral:misc_RNA from 1 species
GGGGGGUGGUGUUGGGGGUCUAUAUAAUUUUAAUAAAAUUAUAUAGUUGCUAUUUAUAAAAUAUUAAUAAUUUACAUUUAAUUAAACAAAAUAUAUAAUUUUAGUCCUAAAAUAUUAGAAAUUACAAUGUAACAAAAAUUAUAAUUAAGCUAAGAUUCUUAAUAAGAAAUUAUAACUAAACUAAGAUUUUAGUGAGGCAAAAAAAUUUGAAGGUUUUAGUAAGAUGAGUUUUUUUAAAAUAGCCAUAAACCUAAU